rnacentral:rRNA from 1 species
UUAAUUGAAGAGUUUGAUCAUGGCUCAGAUUGAACGCUGGCGGCAGGCCUAACACAUGCAAGUCGAGCGGCAGCACAGAGGAACUUGUUCCUUGGGUGGCGAGCGGCGGACGGGUGAGUAAUGCCUGGGAAAUUGCCCGGUAGAGGGGGAUAACCAUUGGAAACGAUGGCUAAUACCGCAUAACCUCGCAAGAGCAAAGCAGGGGACCUUCGGGCCUUGCGCUACCGGAUAUGCCCAGGUGGGAUUAGCUAGUUGGU